UCUUUUCCCACUGUGCUGUGGUUUGUUUGGGUCUCCUGGAGACAGUCUGGCAGUCUGUGGGCUACAAGACUCCCUAAGCUUGUCAGACAGAUUGCUCUGUUCCAGGCAGAGAUGUUCCCUUAAACAGAACACCAUCUUCCCUGUGCUGGCCAGAGAGGGGUGAAGAGUAUCCAAGAAGAGUCGUGACAGCAGCCCCUGAUACUGUCCUGCUUCAUUGCUGAUGCUACUACCUGGAUUUCAGCUGAGGAUGCCAACAGUGAGGGAGACCAGGCAGAAACCUCGACAACGAAAAUCCCAAGCCCAUGUGAAAGACGAGUUGAUUCCAGCUGCUUGGUACUUAACACUGGCAGACAAGCUCUAAGGACCACCACCAAGAAGACACAGCACAAGACAGCCCACACCAGAUAAUCCUCCAGCUAAUCCAAUUCCUUGAUGACAAGGCAGGACAUCAGAGGCAGCUAUGCAAAAGAGGAAGUGAUGCCGGGCCUCCCCCUCCAGAAGGGAAGAAGUACUCAUUAUCACGCCAAGGGCACCGUUCAGUCCCACUUCCAAGGCUAGCUGUGCUCACAUUUAUUAACGUCUGUUUUCCCAGGCAACAGGAGAUGACGCACACACCCUCCUCGAGACAGAGUCGGCAGAUUUAUUUCCCCAUUAAUGUUCUGGGAAGAACACAAUAGCAUCCAGAGAGCCAGAUGGGUGAGCAGCACCAUUCCAACAGGGUGUUCUACCAACCUCCUCUGGAAAUUAAAUAGAAACACUGUUGCCCCCGUUCCUCCUUAACAACCUAAUGGAUUUUCCACCAACUUAACCAGCCUGAGUCCGCUGGAGGAUGGGCUGCAAGCACCUUGAGGUUUGUGUGGUUUCUAUAACGCUCAUUGGUCUUGUAAAUAGAGCCGGUCUUUAACGAGCCCAGUGGGCCUUUCUGGAUUUGCUCAUCAGCAACCCUGUGGAAGGGGCAGGAGAGCUGUGACAGAUGCAAUCCCAAAUAGCCAGUCAAUAAGGAAUUCAUUUAGCUGCUUGUGUGACUUUCCCACACACACACGAUGCCAUUUGUUUGAUCUUCUGUUCAUUCACGGAUUUAUUGAUCUCCUACUAUCUUCUAAUUACUGGGAGUCAAAACAUAGCUUCAGCCUUUGGGCAGCUUUUAGUCUAAGCAUCUCGAGAGUGCUCAAGUAAAUACAGACUUGCCUGUGGUUUGCACUGUGAGGAAACACUGUAGACACUAAAGCAAAAGGCAAGGAUGGUCUCUGUGGUGAUUCUGAAAUGUGUCUCCAUGCCCUUCCCGUUAAUGGACGGGGCUGUUUCCCCACUCCCUUAGAACCAGGUGGAAUUUUGUGCCGACUUCCACCGCUAGAUCGUCAGGCAUAGCGUGUGUAAUCUAUGAGGUUGGGCCACAGAAGAGCGAGCCAGCCACAUAACCACAAGGGGAGGGGGAAAAAGGAAGAGGAAGAAAACACAGACACACAGACACACACACACACACACACACACACACACACGUGCAUAGAGCAUGAAGGUGUUUCAAGAGACGUUUAACUGAGGUGGGAAAAUGUAGGUUGGUGUCAUUAUGCAGUUGUAUCUUGCAGACACAAGAUAAAACGGGGCCUAUCUUUGGACGAGAAGGAAGGAAAGCAGGAACGAAGGUUUGAGAAGGGGAGGGAGAGGGAGAAGAGGAGGGGCAACAUGGAGGCAGACGUAAACGAUCCUCACCAUGCAUCCCUGCAUAGAUGCAGGUUGUUAUGAAUAUUUCUUAAGCGGUGGAUUUCUACAGGUCGAUUUAUCUUAUCUGGGUGGGCGGUUUAUAUCUUUAUCAAUAGGCUGUGAGUGUAUUGUGUGGAUGUAUUGUGGACUGAGAAUUUAACAUAUAAAUCUGAUUGAUAAAUUAC